rnacentral:rRNA from 1 species
UACGUAGGGGGCAAGCGUUGUUCGGAAUUACUGGGCGUAAAGGGCGCGUAGGCGGCACGGCAAGUCGGGAGUGAAAGCCCGGGGCUCAACCCCGGAACGUCUUUCGAAACUGCCGAGCUAGAGUGCGGAAGGGGCAACUGGAAUUCCAGUGUAGCGGUGAAAUGCGUAGAUAUUGGGAAGAACACCUGAGGCGAAGGCGGGUUGCUGGGCCGACACUGACGCUGAGGCGCGAAAGCCAGGGGAGCGAACGGG